UAGCCAGACUCCUACGGGAGGCAGCAGUGGGGAAUAUUGCACAAUGGGGGAAACCCUGAUGCAGCGACGCCGCGUGAGCGAUGAAGUAUUUCGGUAUGUAAAGCUCUAUCAGCAGGGAAGAAAAUGACGGUACCUGACUAAGAAGCCCCGGCUAACUACGUGCCAGCAGCCGCGGUAAUACGUAGGUGGCAAGCGUUGUCCGGAAUUACUGGGUGUAAAGGGAGCGCAGGCGGGAAGCCAAGUCAGCUGUGAAAACUACGGGCUUAACUUGUAGACUGCAGUUGAAACUGGUUUUCUUGAGUGAAGUAGAGGUUGGCGGAAUUCCGAGUGUAGCGGUGAAAUGCGUAGAUAUUCGGAGGAACACCAGUGGCGAAGGCGGCUUACUGGACGACUACUGACGCUGAGGCUCGAAAGCGUGGGGAGCAAACAGGAUUAGAUACCCGCGUAA
rnacentral:rRNA from 1 species